AUGAAGCAGAGGUUAUUGGACACUUGUCACUCUAUAAAUCCUUCUUACACUUCUUACAAUUAGGAUCCUUUGUAUUUGAUCCUAAUCCUUUGUUUUAUAUAUAGGGUUAGGGUAAAACGAAAACUCUUACGAGUUGUGAGAACUUAGAAAACUCAGCCUUACAAAAGGUUUUUUUUUUUUUAAUUACCAAAAAUCCUAAAAGAAAAUUCAACUUUUCCCAAAAAAAAAAUUAUCGAUUUACACCACCCGUAAAAAACGCUUACUGGUGGUGUAAAUGCUGAUUCAUGCUGAUGUCAGCAGCGUAAAAAGGCUGAAAACGCCACUUCGAUUUUUUUUACAGUUGUGUUUGUAACAUUUUAAUCUACGCGUGUGCAAAAAAUGGGGGCAAAACUCGACGGGAAGUUGGAGUUCUCUAAGUUCUCACAACUCAAGGGGAUUUUCUCUUGAUCUUAAUCCUAGAUGUGUGUAUAUAUAUGUAUUAUAUACCUUCACACGGAAAUUCUCAUAUAUAGGAUGUCGGGUAGCUGCUUUAACUCCGUAUGAACGCUUCUUAUCAAUCACUGUUACGGGAUCGUUGUGGUGAUCAUAUUUGGUCAAAAAUGCUUCGCCGGUCAUUGUAUCCGGAAGAUUCUUGGAAUAUAUAGCUUCAAAUCUAAAGGAUAUGGACAAAACAAUGAAAUCCGCCCUAAAAUGUUAAUUUAUAUUUAUAUAAAAAUAUAUGUAUAAUUGUUCACAUACCUGUGGGGAGUGAGAUUGCAUAAAUAAUCUACAGAAGCUUCAUCAUGGAGCAAUUCAAUCCCGUACUCUUCCAACUCAUCAAGAUUAUUUCCGUUUCCAUUUGAAUAUGAAGAUGACAUGGCCGAAGCGGUGGAUUUAAUCAUUUUUCUACCCAUAAAGGCUCCUAUUCUCACUGAUCCAUAGUCAGCACCCCCGAUACUGUGGAUCAGCAGUAACUUAAUGAUUAGCAAGUAUAAGUGGCAAUUUUGAUUCAAUUACUUAUGAACGGGUUGAUUCAGGUUAUGUUUUAUCUAUAACGGGUCAAACGGGUAGAAACAUAAAAUUUAGCUUGAACGGAAUUGGGAUGUUGGUCGCCAAAAGUGUAUUUAUAAUGCAUGAAACCUCCUAAAUCAUUAUAUUCAAUGAAUUAUAUAUAACUGAAACUAGUAUUAAGCCUCUGCAUUGCAGCGGUUGUCAUAAAACUGUGUUAAUUAGUAGCAAUACUAUACCAUUGUCAGCGACCAUCAACACCGAAAAAGCUCGUAAAAAAAUUAAAUAAAAACGGGAAAAGAAAACACCGAUUGAAAAGCAGACGUAAAAUCUUUGAAUCACACACACUCGUUACUGAGAAAUUAAACCGAAACGUAAAACACAGAAAAAAAAUAACUAAGUCCAUCCAGGACCCGCGUGUUGGACGAACUUGUUAAACACAGAAAAAUAGAUGUGACGCGACAGGCCAGUCAAACGGCAAAAAAAUAUACGAAAAAUUGUUGAACCUCAUACGCACGUUGCGGCGCGUCAACUCACAAAAUUUAGACAGAAACGAAAAACUUGGGAAAGAUGAAAAGUAUGGUGGACCAAAAUUGAAAACAAAAAAGAGUUGGGACUAAAUUGCAAAAGAUGAAAAACUUUGGGUUAAAAGUAAAAAA
rnacentral:lncRNA from 1 species